rnacentral:misc_RNA from 1 species
GUCGUAACAAGGUUUCCGUAGGUGAACCUGCGGAAGGAUCAUUACCACACCAAAAAAAAUAUCCACGUGAAUGUAAAUAUUGUAUGAGGUUUCAUAAUUGAAACCAUAGGUAUUUCAUCUUGUAUGAAAUACUGAUUUCAUUAAAUCCCUUUUUAUAUUAAAUUGUCUGACUUUUAUAUGGUAUAUAGAAAUAUAUACUUGAAAUGUCUAUACAACUUUCAACAGUGGAUGUCUUGGUUU